UACAGAGGGUGCAAGCGUUAAUCGGAAUUACUGGGCAUAAAGCGCACGUAGGCGGCUUGGUAAGUGCGGUGUGAAAGCCCCCGGCCUAACCGGGGAACUGCAUCGCAGACUGCCAGGCUCGAGAGCGGGAGGGGAGACUGGAACUCCUGGUGGAGCGGUGAAAUGCGUAGAUAUCAGGAGGAACACCGGUGGUGAAAACGAGUCUCUGGUCCGCUUCUGACGCUCAGGUGCGAAAGCUAGGGGAGCAAACGGG
rnacentral:rRNA from 1 species